GGUAGCAUGGCCAAGGGGUCUAAGGCUCUGGAUUUAGGCUCCAGUCUCUUUGAGGGGUGUGGGUUCGAAUCCCACUGCUACCA
rfam:Danio rerio chromosome 4, GRCz11 reference primary assembly.